rnacentral:snoRNA from 1 species
AUCCUUUUGUGGUUCAUAAGUGUGAUGAUUGGGUGUUCAUGUGCAGCUGUGAGAUGUGCCACCCUUGAACCUUGUUACGAGUCCGGCACAUUACCUGUUUAACG